rnacentral:lncRNA from 1 species
UUCCUAGUACUACCUCCAUGAUCCCACACUCCUAUACAUAUGGGCUAGAAUGAUGCACAUUCAAUCUUUGAGAGAUAUAAAGAAAAAUACAUAUACAUAGAUAGAUUAUCUUUCCAUAAGGUUGAGCGAUCUGAUCUGACAAAUGUUAUAAGUGCUACACUCAUGAACUUAUCACCCAUCAAAUUUGUCUUUCUCCCUAUGCUUAAGGAUAGAGAAGAAUAAAUAUACUUUUGGUUCUGUUGGUGUUUUCCACCAACAGGACCCAUGCACUUGAUCUCUGCCUUGUCUCUAUGAGCAGGACACAUUUUGAGAAACACGGGGGAUUUUUCAACUCCCAGACUCUACCAAGUGAAGGACUUGAUCUACGAGCACAAACACACUGAGCAAGAUACUGCCACGCCGCACUUUGAACUGCUAGACAAACGAAGAAUAUGGGUGACACCGUAUCAAGAGGUGCAGACGUCAAGGUCCACACCUGAAUCAAAUGACGCACCUAAAGAAUGAACACGGUGAGAAGUCUUGUUCGGAAGACAUAAAACAUUGAACCCUUGCCGAAAGGUAAAAUCGGUAGUUAUCUAUAUUUAUCCUUUCUGCAUUCCUUUUUCCUUAAAUUAUUUACUUUCCUUAAAUAGCUUGUUAGUUGAUUAUGCUAUCAUGAAAUAAAAAUAAAAAAUGUUAAAAAUAGUAAGCCCCAUGGGAGUAUGCUUGUGGCAUAAAACCCAUAAGUACAUUCACUGUGGUGGUGUAAAAAUAAAAUAAAUAUAUUCGUGUCCAAUAGAAAUGAAAGUAUAAAAAUAAAUUUAUGAUCCUACCAAAGAGAGUAAAAUCUAUUAGAGGAAGCUCAACAUGAUAACAACUAAGAGAUUUUAUGCUAACACUUAACCAGUUCCACAAAGCUUUGUUGUCUAUUUGAGCUCCGCAGAAUCCAAGGAUCAAAGAAGACUAGCAGACGGAGGACAUCCUAAUCGCUGUCUAGGUGCUGCCGACAUUCAAAUACACCUCCGCCACCUGCUAGCUACAUCAGAAGAAAUUACGUUAAAUCCAGCUUGGGGGAGGGCACCCCCAUUUAUCCAGCUAAGUGUUUCUACUCAUGUUUAUACUUUACUCAAAUAAUAAAAAUAUGCAUAAUCAUAAAAACCCAAAUAAAGAUUUUAUGCUUAUAUAUAUAUAUCUUUUCUUAGUUUGCUAAAUAAAUAAAUAAAUAAAGUUUGCUAUGAACCCUCAUGAUAAGCUCUCACAUGGAAAUGAUGAAUAGUUGCUCUGCCAUGACUAGUUCUCAAAAUUGAAUUCUCUCUCAAGUUUAGGCAUGACUGCUAUGAAUAAAGAUUUGCUCUAAACCUAAACUUGUGGGAAGAGUACCUGAUCAAAAGUCUAAGUCGUUAACAGAUAUGAUAUGGGAAGGUUGAGCUGCUGUUUAUCUAUUCCUAGAGAUGCUAGAAUUCUGGAGAAUUUUAUCUUUGAAAAUCUUUAAAAUGUUGCAUGAUGAGUUCCUGUAUGAUGAGAGUUUAAAUCCUACCACAGCCAUAUAUACAUGCUUAUUAGACAAUGAACCAUACAUUUACUUUUUACUGCUUAUGAGCAUUGAGUGUGGUCAAGCUGUGUAGACCCUUAGGAGCUUGUCAUGCGGUUAAAAUCAAAAUUCACUUGCACAUUCACUCAUACAUGCUGCUUCUACUCCGGAAGUACGCAUCCACAUACAUCCACUCCUUUCCAUCUCCAGGUUCACCCAAAAUUAUUCUACUCCUAUCCAGGAGAGAAUAGGCAAAAACAUUAUCCUAUCCCUGUUAUUCCCCGUGAAAUAAAUGCUCGAGAUAUUUUGGUUACUACCACUUGCUACAUUAUUCUAGGAGGGUGAGUGCUCUGAAAAAAAAGAAGUGAAUACGAGGAAAUAAAAAGGUGCAAGUGCCCAGAACCUCGAAGAAAAGAAAAAGUGAGACGAGAGGUAAAAUUGGACAAGUGUCCGACAAUAGAAUUAGGGGUACAAGAUACCCACCUGACACUACAAGAAAUAUGCUAAUCAUCAACUUUAGAUUAUUCCAAUGCUUAACAUUUUGGUUGGCUCCUGAUCUUUGGUGCUAGAAAAUUAUUAAUUAGCUUGAUUCUUCUUUGCAUGGUACUCUAUCCCUGUCUCUGUUAAGUGUGCAGUUUUUUUUAUUUACUAGCAGCUCCACAUGAUGUCUAGUUGAGUGUGCAGUUUUUUUAUUUACUAGCAGCGGCACUUGAGACAUGGCGACAUGGUGGCCUAUCCUAAAUGCUAAACAACCUGAAUGUCUUUGAGCUGUAACAGCAAACUUGUAAAGUUUUCUAACUGUUAGCAUGUUGGCUUUGUCCAUGACUCUGUGGGUUUGUUCAUUGUUCUGUGCGCAUGUGUCAAAUGAGUUUGUAUUUUGCAUUACUUUACUAUAUGACUAGUCUGCUCUGGUGAAUAAAUGCUAUGUUUUCAUGUAUGAGAUCAAAUGGAAAUGACCUAUGUAUUUAUAUUUAUUUUGUGUUUUGCUUUAGGGUGAUAAAUCAAAUGGAAUAAUAGUGCAUAUUGGAGGAUGAACAAUCUGGGUUUUUCAACGGCAAGAGGUUGCUACUGCUGCUUCUACCACAAGCUCUCAAGCGAACACCACCAUAAUGUAGUGGAUGAAGAUUAGACAUAAAUGUUAAUAUUGCGACAACCAAUUCGUGUAAUUUGUUCCAUUGGAUGAAAAUUUCUAUGUGAUCUAUUGUUAGGUGAAAACGUGAGACCUUGUAUUUGAUUACUAGAUGAAAAACUUAUUUA